UGGGGAAUAUUGCACAAUGGGCGCAAGCCUGAUGCAGCCAUGCCGCGUGUAUGAAGAAGGCCUUCGGGUUGUAAAGUACUUUCAGCGAGGAGGAAGGCGUUGUGGUUAAUAACCGCAACGAUUGACGUUACUCGCAGAAGAAGCACCGGCUAACUCCGUGCCAGCAGCCGCGGUAAUACGGAGGGUGCAAGCGUUAAUCGGAAUUACUGGGCGUAAAGCGCACGCAGGCGGUCUGUCAAGUCGGAUGUGAAAUCCCCGGUCUCAACCUGGGAACUGCAUCCGAAACUGGCAGGCUAGAGUCUUGUAGAGGGGGGUAGAAUUCCAGGUGUAGCGGGGAAAUGCGUAGAGAUCUGGAGGAAUACCGGUGGCGAAGGCGGCCCCCUGGACAAAGACUGACGCUCAGGUGCGAAAGCGUGGGGAGCAAACA
rnacentral:rRNA from 1 species